UUUGUGUGUAUUUCUGUGUAUUUUGUUUUCCAGAGAGUGAUCCAGCUGCAGUCUACUCAGGAGAUGUCAGUUAUGGACAAAUAGCUGUCAGGCCACACAAGACGAGAGAGUUUCCAGCAGAGCCAGAGGUCGUCUACUCUUCACUGAGGUAGACCUUCACACCUUCACACCAGUCCAACCACUGAUGUCCAGCUGGCCUGGAACUGGUCCCCAGAGCCCCUCACACCUCAGCACAUCCAUUAAUUAUAUAAAUAAAUUGUUAAAAUCCUGUU